rnacentral:rRNA from 1 species
UACGAAGGGGGCUAGCGUUAAUCGGAAUUACUGGGCGUAAAGCGUGCGCAGGCGGUUAUGUAAGACAGGUGUGAAAUCCCCGGGCUUAACCUGGGAACUGCAUUUGUGACUGCAUAGCUAGAGUACGGUAGAGGGGGAUGGAAUUCCGCGUGUAGCAGCGAAAUGCGUAGAUAUGCGGAGGAACACCGAUGGCGAAGGCAAUCCCCUGGACCUGUACUGACGCUCAUGCACGAAAGCGUGGGGAGCAAACAGG